rnacentral:rRNA from 1 species
CCUACGGGAGGCUGCAGUAGGGAAUAUUGCUCAAUGGGGGAAACCCUGAAGCAGCAACGCCGCGUGGAGGAUGAAGGUUUUAGGAUUGUUAACUCCUUUUGUUAGAGAAGAUUAUGACGGUAUCUAACGAAUAAGCACCGGCUAACUCCGUGCCAGCAGCCGCGGUAAUACGGAGGGUGCACGCGUUACUCGGAAUCACUGGGCGUAAAGAGUGCGUAGGCGGGGUAAUAAGUCAGGUGGGAAAUCCUGUAGCUUAACUACCGAACUGCUUUUGAAACUGUUACUCUGGAGUGUGGGAGAGGUAGGUGGAAUGCGUGGUGUAGGGGUAAAAU